ACUCAUUCAUUCAAAAUUACAACCUAAACAACCCUAAACCCUUCUUUCUCUUCUUCCAACCUCCUCCAAAUUGCAACUCUCUUCGUCGACUCUGGAUGUCGCCUUGUCGAUCUCUCUCUCUCAAGAGUGUGUUAUCUUUCUUUUUUUAUCGUUCUCAAACUUCAUUUGGUCCCAGCUCUCUUACAGUGCUCAAAGAAGUCGUUCGGUUCAGUGAGUUUGCCUGGUCUCGUUCAGUGAGUAUCGCGGUCGCCCUUACUGAAGGAAAAGACUGACCCAUUCGGUGGCUUUAGCGGUCGCCCUCACUGAAGGAAAAGACUGACCCAUUCGGUGGCUUUCGCGGUCGCCCUAACUGAACUGACUUGAAUCUGAACUACGAUUCAUAUCAAGUCUUACCGAAAUCUGAACAAACCACCACCACUCAGAGGUCUUUGGCCGCCACUUCAACGUCUCACUCACAGCCCGUUGAAAUCCCUAACAUCUCAUUUCACAGUGAAGCUGAAAGCAACGAGGCUGGGAGUUUUGAGGAACUAUUUGAAGAUUUUUUUUGGGAAUUUGCCUUUUGAUGUUGAUAGUGAGAAAUUGGCCUUGCUUUUUGAACAAGUUGGGACUGUAGAAGUUGUUGAGGUAAUUUAUAAUAGGGAUACUGAUCGGAGUCGUAGAUUCGAAUUUGUAACCAUGAGUACAAUGGAAGAUGUUGAGAAGGUUGUGAACAAGUAUAGUAGAUUUCGAAGGAGAGAGCGUUGGUAGUGACGCAUAAUACCUGAACGGCAAGGAAACUACUAGAGGGGGCAAAUCUUCUAUGAAUCUCAAAUCAAGAGCAUCUUCAUUUAGGUGGUAUGAAACUAAAAAGAACCCAAAAGAAAGGCAGCAAGGGAAACAAAAGUUCUCACUUGGAACAAAUUUUCAAUGAACAUGGUAAGGUUGAGAGUGUUUGGGUAGUCUAUGACAAAGAGACCGGUCGAUCA